GUGCAUUCCACUAGGAUCUGCCUUUCUUUCCCUCGCAGCAACGGAGGGAGGCGUAGUAAGGAAGCCCAACUCCACCGAGCCCCCCAGAUAAACCCCUGUGUUCACUUUAGGAUGGCCGGAUCCUCGGGGAUUGGCCUGGGGGGCUGAAGAUGCGGAGGAGGCCGGGUUUCCCGGGCGCUUUCGGGGGCGCAGGGCCGGGAGGCGAAGGCAGGGAACCGGGGAACCGCGGCUGGUAGCGGCGGCGGCGGCGGCGGCAGGAGCCCUCCCAGGUCCUGCUUCCUUGGCGAAUCCUGCUUCCCCGGGACUCCAGGCAAUGGACUUCCAUCGGGAACCUCAGCUCCAAAUGCCUCACUUUAGCAGCUAGAGCUUUUGAGGUUCUGAGAAUCGUCCCUGUCCCUGGGGGGAGAGGGUGGCAGGCUGCGAGUCUCCCGCGCCCCCUCUAAUUCCUGCACUGUUAAACGGAGGGAGAGUGAGUCAGAAAUGGCUUUGCUGCCGAAUGCAUUAUCUGGCCAUGUUCAUAGCCCUGUACUGCACAAACGAUCGCCUGAUCGAUCCGAAAUAAGAGGGAAAGGUAGAGUGGAAAUUGAUUUCUUGCAGAGACUGAGGCGUCAAAUGAAAGAGGGAAUAAACAUUUGCCCUGGAUAAAAAUGUUCUUGGGGAGUAGGAGCUUGUAAGGAUGAAUUUGAAGAAAGGGGGCUUGAAGAAGGCAGUGUGAAGGCUUUAAGUUUCAGAAAUAAUGUGAAUCGCCCCCCCACUUUUUGGGGGGGGGGGCCAGGAAAGAUGAAGUCAUAGAAACGUUAUACAAAUGUGUGCACCUUCCUUCCAAUUCUUGCACCGGAUAUAAACUUAUAAGGUCCAGAAUAGGCUUUUGCAUGUCCUGGUGAUACCUGUGAAUUCAUCCAGUCCUCUGGCUUUCCUGAAUCUACAGCACCCCCAGCCUGCAGAGACUUCUGCGUGGAGAAUGGGCUGUAUUUCAUUACUAAUGAUGUCCUAGAGCAGAAGGUUUCCUUCAGUCAUCUCGUUUUACCAAAAGGAUGAUUUCUGUGCGUGUCCCUACGUUUUUAGACACACGUGGCAAGGGAGAUUGGAGGUCCCCCCAAGGAGAAUGACUUAUUACAAACACAAACCUAGCAGUUGUGGUUUGAAAGAACAUACUUUUUAUAUAAAAAUUGCAAUAUGCUGUUCAAACCUAUUUAAGUUGUUAUUCAAGGAAAUAGAAUUAUUUAUUGAGAACCCAACUUAGAAUAGUAACAUUAACAUUUUUAGCACAUGUGUGAAAUAAAUGUGAGGUUGAUAUUCUUUUAAAUAUUUAGAGAAAAAAAUAGGACAGGAUGAAAAAAUACUGUGACCCAUGGUUCCUUAACUUUAAAAGAGUUUACAGCACUUAGACAUCAAUAAAUAAUGUGAGUAUUUUAACAUUAUAUUCGAUCAUAUGAUUAUAUUUGAUCAACCUCCACAUAGAGCUGUCACCUAACUGUUUUUUUACCUAAGUGCAAGAAAGUUUGAGCCUAGACCUUACUCAGAAGUUAUGCAUUUUAUUUUUAUGUUGACCUUUUCUUUUCCUGGGUAAUCUUCAUGCACAUCUGCAGUUGGUGUUUUAGCCAAUUUUUGUUACUGGUAAUGUUUUGUCUGUUAUUCUGGCUCCAUCUUUUUUAAGAAUAUGGGCAUCACCUAAUUUAUUUCUUACGUGUUAAUCCACUAAAAUUGCUUACACAAAGCAACAUUCAAGACAUGUUGAAUUAGAGAAAUUAUGAAGCAAUUUGCUUGUGAAGAAAAGUGUCGAUAUACUUCAGAUUAUUUUAACCUGAAAUAAAUGUGUAACAAAAAUGGGUUAUAAUGAGAUAAGUACAGUCACCCUGUUCCUUGUAUACAUACAUAACACUCACAUUUAUACAUAUAUAGUUGCGUUAAAAUUUAUUCAUUUUAGUCUUAUGCUUAUUUUGAUUUCAGAGUUUUCUCUUUGAAAGUAUCUAAAACUUCUUCAAUAACUAAGUGUGAAAGCAUCUUCAUGUCUUAUUUCAUGAGAUCAUAAUGGAGCAGGACCCUAGGAGGCUUUCCCAGAACAGACCCACACACAUGUCCUCCACCUGCAUUUGUAGAAAAACUUUAUUCAAGGAAUAAGGUUCAUCAGAGAAGUGAGAAGAUGCAGAAAGAAAGAGAAACAGUCAAGCAUGACAAACUAAUACUUAAGCCAUUAAACAAAGUCAAGGACCUUAGUUCCUCCUCAAAGGCUAUAGAUAAUAUUCUGAACUAUAUCUUUUGAGCUGUUUUACAGAUACUGAAACCCCCACCAGGUGGAAGUAGUUACUGUUGUCUGCCCAUAGGCAGGGAGACCUCCAGACAGGUUGGAACCAGAAGGCUGGUGAUAUUGACUCCCAAUCACCUCACUAUCAACCAAGCGGAAGAAUGAACACAAGCUGAUCAUGCCCAGCGCCUUGAAUACUUAAAUAAGACUCCUCACUACCCUCUCCAUGGUAGGACACAUGGUCUCCUCUGUGGCAUUAGCCCUCUGUGGCCCUCUGUGUUGGCAAAGAAAUAAAGCUAUUUCUA